UACGGGAGGCAGCAGGGGGAAUAUUGCACAAUGGGCGCAAGCCUGAUGCAGCCAUGCCGCGUGUAUGAAAAGGCCUUCGGGUUGUAAAGUACUUUCAGUCGUGAGGAAGGUGUUAAGGUUAAUAACCUUAGCAAUUGACGUUAGCGACAGAAGAAGCACCGGCUAACUCCGUGCCAGCAGCCGCGGUAAUACGGAGGGUGCGAGCGUUAAUCGGAAUUACUGGGCGUAAAGGGCACGCAGGCGGUUAAUUAAGUUGGAUGUGAAAUCCCCGGGCUUAACCUGGGAAUGGCAUUCAAGACUGGUUAGCUAGAGUCUUGUAGAGGGGGUUAGAAUUCCAUGUGUAGCGGUGAAAUGCGUAGAGAUGUGGAGGAAUACCGGUGGCGAAGGCGGCCCCUGGACAAAGACUGACGCUCAUGUGCGAAAGCGUGGGGAGCAAAC
rnacentral:rRNA from 1 species